rnacentral:rRNA from 1 species
CAAUAGCGUAUAUUUAAGUUGCUGCAGUUAAAAAGCUCGUAGUUGGAUUUCGGGUGGGAAUGGCCGGUCCGCCGUUUCGGUGUGCACUUGCUACGCCCACCUUGCUGCCGGGGACGUGCUCUUGAGUUCACGCUCGGGACACGGAGUCGGCGAGGUUACUUUGAGUAAAUUAGAGCGUUCAAAGCAGGCCUACGCUCUGAAUACAUUAGCAUGGAAUAACACGAUAGGACUCUGGCCUAUCUUGUUGGUCUGUAGGACCGGAGUAAUGAUUAAGAGGGACAGUCGGGGGCAUUCGUAUUUCAUUGUCAGAGGUGAAAUUCUUGGAUUUAUGAAAGACGAACUACUGCGAAAGCAUUUGCCAAGGAUGUUUUCAUUAA